rnacentral:tRNA from 1 species
GGGUCAAUAGCUCAACGGUAGAGCACCGGCCUUUUAAGCCGUAGGUUCUGGGUUCGAGCCCCAGUUGACCCACCA